rnacentral:tRNA from 1 species
GAAGGGAUGGCUGAGUGGUUUAAGCGAUAGACUGUAAAUCUAUUAACGUAAGUGUAUGUAGGUUCGAAUCCUACUCCCUUCA